rnacentral:rRNA from 1 species
CAGUAGCCGCGGUAACACGAAGGGUGCAAGCGUUACUCGGAAUUACUGGGCGUAAAGCGUGCGUAGGUGGUGGUUUAAGUCCGUUGUGAAAGCCCUGGGCUCAACCUGGGAAUUGCAGUGGAUACUGGGUCACUAGAGUGUGGUAGAGGAUAGUGGAAUUUCCGGUGUAGCAGUGAAAUGCGUAGAGAUCGGAAGGAACAUCUGUGGCGAAGGCGACUAUCUGGGCCAACACUGACACUGAGGCACGAAAGCGUGGGGAGCAAACAGGAUUAGAUACCCGGGUAGUCCCUGUCUCUUAUAU